GUCCACGCCGUAAACGAUGGAUGCUAGCCGUCGGCAAGCUUGCUUGUCGGUGGCGCAGCUAACGCAUUAAGCAUCCCGCCUGGGGAGUACGGCCGCAAGGUUAAAACUCAAAGGAAUUGACGGGGGCCCCGCACAAGCGGUGGAGCAUGUGGUUUAAUUCGACGCAACGCGAAGAACCUUACCAAGCCUUGACAUGUCCGGACAGUCUCCUGAAAGGGAGUCCUCCCAGCAAUGGGCCGGAACACAGGUGCUGCAUGGCUGUCGU
rnacentral:rRNA from 1 species